AUACAGCUGAAGAGCCCCAAAUAGGACGAAACGCACGUCUUGGAU
rnacentral:hammerhead_ribozyme from 1 species